ACUCAAAGGAAUUGACGGGGGCCCGCACAAGCGGCGGAGCAUGCGGAUUAAUUCGAUGCAACGCGAAGAACCUUACCAAGGCUUGACAUACACCGGACGACUGCAGAGAUGUGGUUUCCCUUUGGGCUGGUGUACAGGUGGUGCAUGGUUGUCGUCAGCUCGUGUCGUGAGAUGUUGGGUUAAGUCCCGCAACGAGCGCAACCCUCGUUCCAUGUUGCCAGCAGCACCUUUGGGUGGCUGGGGACUCAUGGGAGACUGCCGGGGUCAACUCGGAGGAAGGUGGGGAUGACGUCAAAUCAUCAUGCCCCUUACGUCUUGGGCUUCACGCAUGCUACAAUGGCCGGUACAAAGGGCUGCGAUCCCGUGAGGGGGAGCGAAUCCCAGAAAGCCGGUCUCAGUUCGGAUUGGGGUCUGCAACUCGACCCCAUGAAGUCGGAGUCGCUAGUAAUCGCAGAUCAGCAACGCUGCGGUGAAUACGUUCCCGGGCCUUGUACACACCGCCCGU
rnacentral:rRNA from 1 species